CCUACGGGAGGCAGCAGUGAGGAAUAUUGGUCAAUGGACGAGAGUCUGAACCAGCCAAGUAGCGUGAAGGAUGACUGCCCUAUGGGUUGUAAACUUCUUUUAUAUGGGAAUAAAAUGUUCCACGUGUGGGAUUUUGUAUGUACCAUAUGAAUAAGGAUCGGCUAACUCCGUGCCAGCAGCCGCGGUAAUACGGAGGAUCCGAGCGUUAUCCGGAUUUAUUGGGUUUAAAGGGAGCGUAGGUGGAUUGUUAAGUCAGUUGUGAAAGUGUGCGGCUCAACCGGUAAAUUGCAGUUGAAACUGGCAGUCUUGAGUACAGUAGAGGUGGGCGGAAUUCGGGGUGUAGCGGUGAAAUGCUUAGAUAUCACGAAGAACUCCGAUUGCGAAGGCAGUUCACUGGACUGCAACUGACACUGAGGCUCGAAAGUGUGGGUAUCAAACAGGAUUAGAUACCCGAGUAGUC
rnacentral:rRNA from 1 species